rnacentral:rRNA from 1 species
CACGUAGGGGGCGAGCGUUGUUCGGAAUUACUGGGCGUAAAGCGUGCGUAGGCGGCUAAUUAAGUCGGAUGUGAAAUCCCCGAGCUCAACUUGGGAAUUGCAUUCGAUACUGGUUAGCUAGAGUAUGGGAGAGGAUGGUAGAAUUCCAGGUGUAGCGGUGAAAUGCGUAGAGAUCUGGAGGAAUACCGAUGGCGAAGGCAGCCAUCUGGCCUAAUACUGACGCUGAGGUACGAAAGCAUGGGGAGCAAACAGGAUUAGAUACCCUGGUAGUCCAUGCCGUAAACGAUGUCUACUAGCCGUUGGGGCCUUUGAGGCUUUAGUGGCGCAGCUAACGCGAUAAGUAGACCGCCUGGGGAGUACGGUCGCAAGACUAAA